rnacentral:rRNA from 1 species
UACGUAGGGUGCAAGCGUUAAUCGGAAUUACUGGGCGUAAAGCGUGCGCAGGCGGUUGUGCAAGACAGGUGUGAAAUCCCCGGGCUUAACCUGGGAACUGCACUUGUGACUGCACAGCUGGAGUACGGCAGAGGGGGAUGGAAUUCCGCGUGUAGCAGUGAAAUGCGUAGAUAUGCGGAGGAAUACCGGUGGCGAAGGCGGCAUCCUGGACCGGCAUUGACGCUGAGGAGCGAAAGCCAGGGGAGCGAACCGG